rnacentral:rRNA from 1 species
AGUGAACGCUGGCGGCGUGCCUAAUACAUGCAAGUCGAACGGAGUGGCGCACGGGUGAGUAAUGUAUAGCUAAUCUGCCCUACACUAGAGGACAACAGUUGGAAACGGCUGCUAAUACUCUAUAGUGUAGGUUGAGGCUAUCUUGUAUCAGCUAGUUGGUGAGGUAAUGGCUCACCAAGGGUAUGACGCAUAACUGGUCGGAGAGGACGAUCAGUCACACUGGAAGUGAGACACGGUCCAGACACCUUGGGGAGUCAGCAGUAGGGAAUAUCGCUCAAGGGGCGAAACCCAGAAGCAGCUACGCCGCGUGGAGGAUGUCACUUUGCGGAGCGGAAACUCCUUUUGUUAGGGAAGCGGUACCUAACGAAUAAGCACCGGCUAACUCCGUGCCAGCAGCCGCGGUAAUAC